rnacentral:tRNA from 1 species
GCGAGGGUGGCGGAAUAGGCAGACGCGCUAGACUUAGGAUCUAGUGAGUUUAAUCUCAUGCGGGUUCGAGUCCCGCCUCUCGCACCA